UGUGGGACUUUUAAAGUUAUUUAGAUCUUGGGGAUGAAUAAGAAAGUAAGGUUUGAAGCUUAAUGAUGAUGUAUUUGUGUCAAACUGACAAGGGGUUUUGUGCAGGAUAUUUUUUGUGCAUGAUGUUUUGUGCAGGAAGAGAAACCCUGACUAAGACACACUGGCUACUAGGAACCCUGUUUCAAAGCAAAACAAAACUUAACAGAUGCAGAGGCACUCGUGCCUGGACUGGCAGAAGGUAAGCUACAGCUCGUUACUAUUAAGAAGCACACUAUGGGUGGAAAUUUAAGAUGCUAAAGAAACCUGAAACAGAGAACUGAAUGCCGAACUACAGGUAACAGCAUGUGUUAUAACCCCCGUUACCUGACAUAGCCUCCAACUCUGUACAGCACAGAGUCUGAGCGGCUCUAGUCUUGCUGGGUCCUUGGAAGCAUAUGUGUUCUUCCUUAGUAUGUUAUCUCUGUCUAUGAUAAAUUCUUCCUUUGGGGACCCAAGAACUCGAACCCUUUCUGGAAAUGUCCACAGAACCCCCAUAUCAGCCAAUAUCAAUAGGAAAUCUUUAGUUUCCGGUAAUUUGAGAAGAACCUGUAGAAGAGAAAGCCAGGAGGGAGCUACUAGUUCUAUGAACCACUCUAUCAUCCCCUGGCCCACCAGGGUUCUUUCGUAGGGCAGUCUAGAAGCAUGGCCGGCGGCGUGAGGCUAGAAAGGCUGGCAUCGCUUGCUCCUGGUUCCAUGGUAUCAUUCUGACCUAUAUUCAGGUGGUUCCUCCUGCUUUUCUUUUCUGGACACUGGAAAUGCGAGUCCGUGUGAAGAAGACUCAGAGGACAAGUGAGCCCCGAGCAUAAUCUGCUGUGUUGGAUUCCUUGGAACACCACCAGACGGUAGGAGGGGCUUCUGGAGCUCGCCCUAGAAUCAGCUGGUCAGUGGCUGUAAGUUUUCUUUAUGCGAGGGGGCGGGGUGGUGGUGGUGAACUGCAGGUUUCCUUACGGAGUGGUGGGGCGACUGGAAGGGAGGCGACACAAAGCUACUUUACUGGAUGAAGAAUGCUAAAAAUGUGUGUGAGGAAGCUGAGCGGAAGCUGAGCCUUGAGAGGUGGAAGCAUGCCCAAGGUAUGAUGGCAGGAACCUGGCCAGAGAGAGGAAGCGAAGCAGAAGCGGCAGGGAAUGUUGAGUCAUGGAUGAGCCACGGGUACUGCGGAUGCCUCAUUUGCAUAACCAGGUGCUCGCUGCAUGUGACCUUAUAAGGAGAAAGGAAGUUCAACUUGUAACUUGGAGACCAGGUUAUAUGACUAAGGCCUCCAGAUUAAAGCCGAAACAGAAGUAAACCCGAAUCAGAACCCGAUAUGGACAAGACAAAAGACUACAGUGAGGCCGUACUUACAGAUGGGAAAAAAACCAGGGUCUCUGGUAAAUCCUGGAGGAGCCCACAAACGUAAGGGUCUAUGAUUCAUUGAAGAGCGACACCCCAACUCAAAUGCUGUGCAAAUGCAAAGAGUGUUUUAUUCUGCAGACGUCCAGCAUGCUGGGGUCUCCCAUUACCAAGACAGAGAGACACCCAAGUAAGCUUGCAGGCCUGGUUUAAAGCACAUUAGAGAAUUCCAGGGCAGGUGGCCUUUGCCUCACUCUAUCUCUAUGGACAUCCCGUUUCCUGAGUGUGGGGGCUGGCUAGAAACUGUGGACCCGUUGUCCUUGCCUCAAGCCAGGCGGUGGGGCAGUUUCUAAUGGCAGAGCAGUUUCUGACUGGCUGCCUGUAGCCUGGGUUUUUAAGCCCUUAUCUCUCGAACUGUCCAUUUGAAGUCUGUCAUGGAGUCAGCCUGUCUCAUCAGUUAUGUAAACCAUCCAGGAGAGUGAGCUCUCAAAGAGUGGUGACCAGGAGAAAGGAAUGGGAAUAUUGCCGUCCAUGUUUAAGUUUGGAGAGAUGAAAUCGUGCUAGAGGUAGAUGGCAGGGGUGACUGUGUAACAGGGAUGUACUCACUACCUCGAAGUGGAGAUGUGGUUGAAUGGUUCAGAUUUUACUGCAAUUAAAAAAUGUUAGAUGCUGGGGCUGGGGAUUUAGCUCAGCGGUAGAGCGCUUACCUAGGAAGC
rnacentral:sRNA from 1 species